GUACCGUGAGGGAAAGGCGAAAAGAACCCCGGCGAGGGGAGUGAAAAAGAACCUGAAACCGUGUACGUACAAGCAGUGGGAGCCCCACCACUAAGCCAGUGGUGAACUCCACAUACGCAUCCUUUGCUGAGGAUACGGUUAACGGAGCGAAAGCGACGUUCAACCGCAAAAGAAGCAGAGGGGGCUUAGUACCUGUGUGACUGCGUACCUUUUGUAUAAUGGGUCAGCGACUUAUAUUCUGUAGCAAGGUUAACCGAAUAGGGGAGCCGGAGGGAAACCGAGUCUUAAUUGGGCGUUAAGUUGCAGGGUAUAGACCCGAAACCCGGUGAUCUAGCCAUGGGCAGGUUGAAGGUUGGGUAACACUAACUGGAGGACCGAACCGACUAAUGUUGAAAAAUUAGCGGAUGACCUGUGGCUGGGGGUGAAAGGCCAAUCAAACCGGGAGAUAGCUGGUUCUCCCCGAAAGCUAUUUAGGUAGCGCCUCGUGAAUUCAUCUCCGGGGGUAGAGCACUGUUUCGGCUAGGGGGCCAUCCCGGCUUACCAACCCGAUGCAAACUGCGAAUACCGGAGAAUGUUAUCACGGGAGACACACGGCGGGUGCUAACGUCCGUCGUGAAGAGGGAAACAACCCAGACCGCCAGCUAAGGUCCCAAAGUCAUGGUUAAGUGGGAAACGAUGUGGGAAGGCCCAGACAGCCAGGAUGUUGGCUUAGAAGCAGCCAUCAUUUAAAGAAAGCGUAAUAGCUCACUGGUCGAGUCGGCCUGCGCGGAAGAUGUAACGGGGCUAAACCAUGCACCGAAGCUGCGGCAGCGAACGUAUCACUUAAAGCGAUUCAGCGGGUUACGAUUGACGGAGCGAAGCGACGUCAAAGCGUAUACAAAGCUGCGGCAGCGACGCUUAUGCGUUGUUGGGUAGGGGAGCGUUCUGUAAGCCUGUGAAGGUGGCCUGUGAGGGUUGCUGGAGGUAUCAGAAGUGCGAAUGCUGACAUAAGUAACGAUAAAGCGGGUGAAAAGCCCGCUCGCCGGAAGACCAAGGGUUCCUGUCCAACGUUAAUCGGGGCAGGGUGAGUCGACCCCUAAGGCGAGGCCGAAAGGCGUAGUCGAUGGGAAACGGGUUAAUAUUCCCGUACUUGGUGUUACUGCGAAGGGGGGACGGAGAAGGCUAUGUUGGCCGGGCGACGGUUGUCCCGGUUUAAGCGUGUAGGUGUGUGUUCCAGGUAAAUCCGGUUCACUUUAACACUGAGGCGUGAUGACGAGGCACUACGGUGCUGAAGUAACAAAUGCCCUGCUUCCAGGAAAAGCCUCUAAGCAUCAGGUAACAUCAAAUCGUACCCCAAACCGACACAGGUGGUCAGGUAGAGAAUACCAAGGCGCUUGAGAGAACUCGGGUGAAGGAACUAGGCAAAAUGGUGCCGUAACUUCGGGAGAAGGCACGCUGACACGUAGGUGAAGUGAUUUACUCACGGAGCUGAAGUCAGUCGAAGAUACCAGCUGGCUGCAACUGUUUAUUAAAAACACAGCACUGUGCAAACACGAAAGUGGACGUAUACGGUGUGACGCCUGCCCGGUGCCGGAAGGUUAAUUGAUGGGGUCAGCGCAAGCGAAGCUCCUGAUCGAAGCCCCGGUAAACGGCGGCCGUAACUAUAACGGUCCUAAGGUAGCGAAAUUCCUUGUCGGGUAAGUUCCGACCUGCACGAAUGGCGUAAUGAUGGCCAGGCUGUCUCCACCCGAGACUCAGUGAAAUUGAACUCGCUGUGAAGAUGCAGUGUACCCGCGGCAAGACGGAAAGACCCCGUGAACCUUUACUAUAGCUUGACACUGAACAUUGAGCCUUGAUGUGUAGGAUAGGUGGGAGGCUUUGAAGUGUGGACGCCAGUCUGCAUGGAGCCGACCUUGAAAUACCACCCUUUAAUGUUUGAUGUUCUAACGUGGACCCGUUACCCGGGUUGCGGACAGUGUCUGGUGGGUAGUUUGACUGGGGCGGUCUCCUCCUAAAGAGUAACGGAGGAGCACGAAGGUUGGCUAAUCCUGGUCGGACAUCAGGAGGUUAGUGCAAUGGCAUAAGCCAGCUUGACUGCGAGCGUGACGGCGCGAGCAGGUGCGAAAGCAGGUCAUAGUGAUCCGGUGGUUCUGAAUGGAAGGGCCAUCGCUCAACGGAUAAAAGGUACUCCGGGGAUAACAGGCUGAUACCGCCCAAGAGUUCAUAUCGACGGCGGUGUUUGGCACCUCGAUGUCGGCUCAUCACAUCCUGGGGCUGAAGUAGGUCCCAAGGGUAUGGCUGUUCGCCAUUUAAAGUGGUACGCGAGCUGGGUUUAGAACGUCGUGAGACAGUUCGGUCCCUAUCUGCCGUGGGCGCUGGAGAACUGAGGGGGGCUGCUCCUAGUACGAGAGGACCGGAGUGGACGCAUCACUGGUGUUCGGGUUGUCAUGCCAAUGGCACUGCCCGGUAGCUAAAUGCGGAAGAGAUAAGUGCUGAAAGCAUCUAAGCACGAAACUUGCCCCGAGAUGAGUUCUCCCUGAGACUUAAAGUCUCCUGAAGGAACGUUGAAGACGACGACGUUGAUAGGCCGGGUGUGUAAGCGCAGCGAUGCGUUGAGCUAACCGGUACUAAUGAACCGUGAGGCUUAACCCUACAACGCCGAAG
rnacentral:rRNA from 1 species